UACGGGGGGGGCAAGCGUUGUUCGGAAUUACUGGGCGUAAAGGGCUCGUAGGCGGCCAACUAAGUCAGACGUGAAAUCCCGCGGCUUAACCGGGGAACUGCGUCUGAUACUGGAUGGCUAGAGUUUGGGAGAGGGAUGCGGAAUUCCAGGUGUAGCGGUGAAAUGCGUAGAUAUCAGGAGGAACACCGGUGGCGAAGGCGGCUACCUGAGCAGAAACUGACGCUGAGGCACGAAAGCGAGGGGAGCAAACAGG
rnacentral:rRNA from 1 species